rnacentral:rRNA from 1 species
AAACCAACAGGGAUUGCCCUAGUAACGGCGAGUGAAGCGGCAACAGCUCAAAUUUGAAAUCUGGCCUCGGCCCGAGUUGUAAUUUGCAGAGGAUGCUUCUGGCGCGGUGCCUUCCGAGUUCCCUGGAACGGGACGCCACAGAGGGUGAGAGCCCCGUAUGGUCGGACNCCAAGCCUGUGUGAAGCUCCUUCGACGAGUCGAGUAGUUUGGGAAUGCUGCUCUAAAUGGGAGGUAAAUCUCUUCUAAAGCUAAAUACCGGCCAGAGACCGAUAGCGCACAAGUAGAGUGAUCGAAAGAUGAAAAGCACCUUGAAAAGGGGGUUAAAUAGUACGUGAAAUUGUUGAAAGGGAAGCACUUAUGACCAGACUUGGGCCGGGCGGCUCAUCAGGGGUUCUCCCCUGUGCACUCCGCCCGGCACAGGCCAGCAUCGGUUCUCGUGGGGGGAUAAGACCGUCAGGAACGUAGCACCCUCCGGGGUGUGUUAUAGCCUGGCGGACGAUACCCCCGUGGGGACCGAGGUCCGCGCUCCGCAAGGAUGCUGGCGUAAUGGUCAUCAGUGAC